rnacentral:snRNA from 1 species
AGCUUUGUGCUGUGGAAAUAUGGUAGCCAAUGAGGUUUAUCCAAGGUGUAUUUAUUGAUGCUUAAAACUAAAUUUAUCUAUCUAUCUAUCUACACAAAAUUCCUUUCAGUGAUUUAGUUCA